CGUGUUUUAAAAGCCAUACACAGGGGCUGGGGAUUUAACUCAGUGGUUCCAGCACCUGCCUCGCAAGUGCAAGGUCCCGAGUUCAAUCCCCAGUACAAAAAAAAAAAAAAAGCCAUACACAGAAUGGUUCUGGUGAUCCGGUUGGACCCAAUCAGCAGUCCCAACAUCCACCUGCAUGGCCACAUCCUGGGCUCCUCACUCCCCUUCACCCCAUGUAAAUCAUCAAUCUAUAAACCUCUAAUUUUACUUCUGAAAUACUGUCAAAUCAUCCAUUCCUUCCAUCCACUUGCCCAAGUGAAGCCCCUCCCCAUCUUUGCCAACAUUACUAGAAUAGCCAGAUCCAAAUAGACUAGCAUAUUAAAAAGCCAAACCUGAUCACAUUGCUCAUCUCAUUGAAAUCCUUCUCUGGCUUCUGAUGCUGACCAGGACCCUGAGCUCCAUAGCAUAGAUUCUAAUGGUCUCUGGGCCCUGGGCCCUCCUUGUCUAAUUUGCCUUAGUCCCAGCCACUUCCAUUCUGGAACCUUCAGCAGAGCCCAAUCCAAAUCCCCGAUCCCCAUCCCCAAUCAGGCUAUUUCUGCUUCAGGCUCAAGCUGGUCGUUGGCCUAGAAUUCCCUUUCCUAUGUGCCCUUAAAUCCGUUGUUCAGGUACCACUUCCUCUGAGAAGUCUUCCUGGAUUCCCUCCAUCUCCUCUGUUAUUUUGGACUGUUCUAUGGGCUUCGCCUCUCCCCAUCAUGACUCCAAAGAGCCAGGACAAUUCAUCUGUGUGUCCCAGGGUCUGGUACACUGCAGUAAAUGUUUUUGGAAGAGAAGCAAAUGGAAAAUGAAAUGCUUGAGAUGAGACAACUGAAAAAUCUCUAAUCCUAAGAAAGAAAACUGGAGAAACAUUGACGAUAAAGAGCAAAAAAGAAAACUGUAACCAAAAUUAAUCACUUGAGAAGUUAUCUGAAGAAGCCGUACACUAUCAGAGUGGCAAUACUGUCACCCAAUGGCUGGCUCCCUGCCUUGGAGGGUCGAGUACCGAUUUGUGGAGAGACCUAUGCCAUACUUUUAGUGGUAAAUUAGUAAUCUCUCUUCUGACUGGGGCUAGACUCUAGUAACCUCUCAAGAGUAUUCAAGGUCCUGGAUUUCAAGUCCUAGCAUGGCUUGGGUUUUGUCCCCACCCUGACCACCCACGGCCCUACACAAAGUGGGCAGAUUAGAUUUCUUCUUGCCAUGUCAUGGAUGUCAGCACGAGCUGGGUAGAGGCAGGGGGGCCAUGGCCAGAAGCAUCAUCAAGUAAAGAUGAGGUCAUGCUGGAGUCAGGUGCACCCUAAAUCUAACAGGCGGUAUUAGAAGAGGAGAGGACCCCAACUGUAGAAGCCAUACAAAGGCAGAGGCAAGGAUUGGAAUCUGCCCAAGCCAAGGAAUGGCCAAGGCCACCAAAAGCAGAAAGAUACCAUAGAAAGACCCACCCUAGAACCCUGGAGCACGACCGAUGGCACCAUGAAGAAACGGAGAGAAGUAUCCUUUCUAAAUGGUGGUGUUUCUCAGACAUUCUGCUAAGAUGGCAGGCCACGGGGUAGGCAGUGCCAGGAGGGGGUGCCACGUUAAAAUGUCACAGAGUCACAGAGAGGUCUUCUACACAAGGACUGCUUGCUGGCUGUGAGAUGCUGCAAGAAAGGCAGGACAUAGUUUGUAAUUUUUUUUUUUGCUUUAGUAAUUUUGUAUUUAUUUAAUACAGUACCCCUCUCCCACCAAUGCUUGUGAAGCAGGACUUAAAGAAAAAUGAAUUCUUCCCAACCUUGGGCUUUUCCCCCCUCAGAUCCGCCCCACCCCUUGUAGCUGUAACUCCUUGUUCCUGGUACAGAUAAAAUUGACAACUGUGUCUUGUAAACAAAGUUUAUGACACCCUGUUCUCACAUGAUUCAUAAGACACUGUCUUCUUUCAAGGAUAAGUUACAAGACUGUCUGCCCUUGUCUUGUUCCUUGUUACGUUAAACUCACUUGCUACAUCACUAGAAAGACAAUCCCCUUCGAUCAAAUGGAUGAAAGCUGGAACUUUUCUUUGUUCGUCACACCCCCUUUGGACAAGAGUCCGUUGAGCUGGUGUUCACCUAAAACCUGAAAUAAAUCCUGGUUCCUAGUGGUCUCCCCUGUCUCUCGGAGCCCUGCGGCAGCUGGAGAUGCCAACCUCAGAACCUCAGUCACGGGGGCUGCCUCCCCUGCUUAGGGUUGGGUGAGCGCACCCUAGGGGCUCAUCCAGCCUCCAGAGCCCCGGGCUGUCAGCUGGACUCCUGGGUCUGGGGACACUGGGUCAGAGCCUCAGGGCUGCCACCUCAGCCACCCUGUGCCCAGGCCACAGGACCCUUCCACUCCACAAGGGGCGUGGCCCCAGGGAUCUCCCUGACACGCGCACACUCACAUUCAUGCCACACGUUUGCACCAUAGUCACGCUCAUACUCACUUUUCAUGCACUAAUUUUCUCUCACACGCACGCCCUCAGAGCCCUCGCGCCCACUCUUACACUCCUCCCAGACCUUCCCAUCAGUCUGCUGCCUCCUGCCAUGCCCCACCCCUCUCCUGCCAGGGACCUUGAUCUCGGGGCUCUUUGCCCUCAUCCGCCUCUUCUCCGCACCCUCCUCAGUGUCCUCCUGGACUGACACCCCUUCAUACGACCCUGUGGCACCAAGCAGUAGUAUAUCUUGGUCACUGCUCCUUGCACUAGUUAACAGCAAGCGAGGAAUGAUCAAAGAAUCAAAUUUGCAUAAUUAAGAUGAUGAAUGAUGACCCUGGGGGGUCUGGGACCUGUCUAAAGCUAUGGAGACUGGGAACUGGCUGUGGGAAGAACGAGGAAGAGAGUUCCACAGGAGGGGCAGCAUGGGCAGAGGACUCAAGGCAGGAGUGAGCCCAGCAGUGGCAUCAGAAGGGGUGCUGAGCAGAGUGCAGAGCAGGAGGCCAGACUGACCGUACAUGAAGCCAAGGCCAGGACCUGUGCAUGGAGCCAAGUGGGUAAGGCAGCUCUGUCUCUGUAGGUUAUCCUGCUCCAUGGGUUUCUCCAGAAUCCUCCCCUAAUGUGUAGAGAGCUCAUACUUCAUGAUUGCCAAUGUGAUUUGGGUUUAUCUUAAUGUAACCUCCAGGCCCCGUGACCUCAUAACUGAAUUUACACACUAGAAGUUUCCUGAAUACUGUGAAUUGUCAUAUGGCCUAACAAGGGUGUUUGGGAACCGCCCCCUUAGGAGAGGUCGAGAAAAGGUAACUUGAAAACACACUACACCUCCCACAUUGCUGGAGGGAAUGUAAUGUGGACCACCACUGUGGAAACGCAGAGGUUCCUCAAAAUGCUAAACACAAAACUACCAUAGAUAGGCCCAACUGAAAGCAGGGGAAAAGCAGACAUUUGCACCUGUAUUCACAGAAAUGUUCGAAAUACUGUAGCUUAUGGUGGAAGAAACACAGGUGCCCACUGUUGGAUAAACACAUGAGGCAUCAUGCAGUGGAAUAGUACCCAGGGCAGGACGGACACAGGCUACAGUGCAAAUGAACCUUGAGUACAGGCUGCUAAGUGAAGUAAGCUCCACACAAAAGACCACCUACUGUAUGAUUCCACUUACCUCACCUAUCUAGAGCUGGCAAAUCUAUAGGGCAGAAAAUAGAUUGUCCGUCACCAGGGAGGGGACAUCGGGAGCCAAGGGUUAAUGGUUUUAGUUUCUGUUUGAGGGGGGGUGAAAAAGUUUUGGAAGUAGUAGUGCUUGUUAAAAUGCUAUAAAUGUAACAUGCCACUGAAUUAUAUAAUUAAUGAUUAAAAUGGCAGAUUUUAUAAGUAUGGUACUAGAGUUGGUUUUUUUUUAAUGAAUUGUAAUGGAG
rnacentral:lncRNA from 1 species